CACAAGGCAUCAGGUACUGCAAAUCUGCUACGCCAGGAAGUGUGCCAGCUGAAGGCAUGCAAGGGUGCUGAUAUUUCGCAAGCAUGGCAACAAAUGCUGUCCGUCAUCGCAACAGCUAUUCCCGAAGUGAAAAUCAAUUGUGAAGAUUUGGAAGUUACAUCUGCAGUGCUAGCGAAUCUGAUAAGCUACCUGCAUGCCACGGAAAGCGUCAAUAGCACCAUCCAAAGCUGCUGAAGCCAUCCCCGAACCGGUGAUUGACAAUUUGUCUCACCUUGCUGAAAAGUACCAUGGUGGUUGGUGCUUGGUGGCCGUGCGGCGUGCACUGGAAGGAGCAAGGUGUCGCAACGACAACUUGCUGCAGCUUAUACCUUUAUUUGGCAAGGAUGCCGUGACAAGCCUUCAGCCUUGUUUGGAGAAUUCAGGUGGCCCGGCGUGGCUCGGAAGCUCUGUAUAAGACACCAUACGUCACAGAUAAAAACAACUGAACCAGUGAUAUGUGAAUUUUGCGCUUGUGUGUGUGUGUGUGUGUGUGUGUGUGUGUGUGUGUGUGUGUGUGUGUGUGUGUGUGUGUGUGUGUGUGUGUGUGUGUGUGUGUGUGUGCUUCUGUGAUAAGUGGUAUAAGCAGUCCACAGGGUAUUCACCUUGAGUGCAUUCGCCGAUAGUGUGACUUUCGUCGCACAGAACCUUCUUCAGUUGGUCAGGUGACUCGGCGUGGCUCGGAAGCUCUGUAUAAGACAAAAUACGACACAGAUAAAAACAACUGAACCAGUGA